CCUACGUGAGGCAGCAGUAGGGAAUCUUCCACAAUGGGCGAAAGCCUGAUGGAGCAACGCCGCGUGGGUGAAGAAGGUCUUCGGAUCGUAAAACCCUGUUGUUAGAGAAGAAAGUGCGUGAGAGUAACUGUUCACGUUUCGACGGUAUCUAACCAGAAAGCCACGGCUAACUACGUGCCAGCAGCCGCGGUAAUCCGUAGGUGGCAAGCGUUAUCCGGAUUUAUUGGGCGUAAAGGGAACGCAGGCGGUCUUUUAAGUCUGAUGUGAAAGCCUUCGGCUUAACCGGAGUAGUGCAUUGGAAACUGGGAGACUUGAGUGCAGAAGAGGAGAGUGGAACUCCAUGUGUAGCGGUGAAAUGCGUAGAUAGAUGGAAGAACACCAGUGGCGAAAGCGGCUCUCUGGUCUGUAACUGACGCUGAGGUUCGAAAGCGUGGGUAGCAAACAGGAUUAGAUACCCCUGUAGUC
rnacentral:rRNA from 1 species